rnacentral:rRNA from 1 species
GAUGAACGCUGGCGGCGUGCCUAAUACAUGCAAGUCGAGCGAACGGACGAGAAGCUUGCUUCUCUGAUGUUAGCGGCGGACGGGUGAGUAACACGUGGAUAACCUACCUAUAAGACUGGGAUAACUUCGGGAAACCGGAGCUAAUACCGGAUGAUAUUUUGAACCGCAUGGUUCAAAAGUGAAAGACGGUCUUGCUGUCACUUAUAGAUGGAUCCGCGCUGCAUUAGCUAGUUGGUAAGGUAACGGUUUACCAAGGCAACGAUGCAUAGCCGACCUGAGAGGGUGAUCGGCCACACUGGAACUGAGACACGGUCCAGACUCCUACGGGAGGCAGCAGUAGGGAAUCUUCCGCAAUGGGCGAAAGCCUGACGGAGCAACGCCGCGUGAGUGAUGAAGGUCUUCGGAUCGUAAAACUCUGUUAUUAGGGAAGAACAUAUGUGUAAGUAACUGUGCACAUCUUGACGGUACCUAAUCAGAAAGCCACGGCUAACUACGUG